rfam:Cavia porcellus supercont2_28 genomic scaffold, whole genome shotgun sequence.
GGGGAUAUAGCUUAGCGGCAUUAGUACCUGCCUGGCAAACUGAGGUUUAUGAGUUUGAUUCUCAGUAACCCCC